rnacentral:tRNA from 1 species
GCAUAGGUGUUUCAGUGGUACAAUUUGCCCUUUUUAUGCAAGAGACCCAGGUUCGACUCCUGGUCAAUGCC